AACAUGGUCAGCUGCGAGGCUGACCGUUGUGAUGUUCAGUAGAACCUUGACAACUGCAUAGGUAAGUCUGUAAAUAAAGCAUCUCAUGGAUGCUCUAGAGGCAGCUGAUGAUUCCAGUGGCUUUGGCCACUGAAAUCAUGGUUUGUUUUUGGAGCGAUUCUAGAGUAGGAGCCGAGACGCCACAUUGCUCCUGGUUCUUGCCGAAAGAAUCGGGUUUGAUCUUGUUUUUAGUUUUAAAAACCGGAGAAUCUGCGUACAACCGCAGCAAGGUGAUGUGGAGAUAAAUUGGUCAAGCUACAAAGGGCUCACGGUGGAUCCCUUGGCACACAGAGGCGAUGAAGGACGUAGUUACCUGCGAUAAGUCUCGGGGAGCUGGAAACACGCUUUGAUCCGGGAAUUUCCGAAUGGGGCAACCCCUAGAA
rnacentral:misc_RNA from 1 species